rnacentral:lncRNA from 1 species
UUUUAUAUGCAUAAUGCCUUAGCUAGACCCGGACACUUUCCCUGAAUCUGACUUCCGGAUCAUAACUGCUGCACAAACAGACUCUCUGGGAAGAUUUGUCACCCAGGAAAAGAAAGUAUACUGAUCGGACGUGUUCAAGAAGUGUUCUCAAUGACAAACGCUAGCUAUUCCACAUUCCCGGCGGGGCUUACAUAGCAUAGUAGGGUAUGUAACACUUAGCCUUUUAUUUUUCAAAACUCCAUCCAUUAUGAGGCCUCUCAUUUCCAAUCGGUACAUUGAAUCUCACAUAUAUGAAAAGACUUUUUCCCAGUGCGUUUCACUGCUCAUAGAUGCAAGACAUUGUUAGUGCUUGACAGGCGACUUCCAUACGCUGCCCCUAGUCCAAUGCUGGCCUCGUGUUUUGUUUUUUGCCGACUUGGGGAGGACUCCCAGCUUGUAAGAACUUCCACCAUCCUGGAGCAUGUGACAUCGGAGUGCUGUCACGCACGAGUCCCAGAAAAUGAGCAAAGCAAUGUCGUCAAUCAUUCAUUGCAACAAUGGGAACCACAAAAUGAAACUGAAAAGGCUUCAACAUCUAAAUAAUGUUGCUCUUGCUGGCCUUCUCAAUUGAACUCGGACUUUGAUUGGAAUUUGUUCUGAACCCAUGCAUUUGAGAGUUUCUCAUUUCCAGCAAAAUCGUUCUAUAGAGCUUUGGAGCGUGAAGAAAAAUGAAAUCCAGACAAGUAAACCAACCCACAUUGAGGUGGGUAAGACGCUUCUCUUGUUUGUUUCUUGCAACCGAGGCGAUAAUAUCACAUAUCAAGCCCAUAGGGUAUAGCAAACACUAGCCCAUUGAGCCUCGUUACACUUGACUCAGAGUAAAAUAUUUCUUAAGCGCAUCCA